rnacentral:rRNA from 1 species
UGAGAAACCCGAAAGAUCGAAUGGGGAGACUCAUCGUCAGCGGAGUCGGCUUCCAUGUGGUGCGCGAUGACUUGAAUUUUUAUUCGAGUUACGCCAUCGCUGUGGUAUGGGUCCGGCUACGUCGGCGUGCAUUUCUCCUCUAGUAGAACGUCGCGACCCGCUGGGUGUCGGUUUAAGGACCGAGAUCGUAGACUGUUCCGUCGCUUCGGCGUACGGUGGCAGACGCUUGGAUUCCCGACCGGCUGCCCGGCGGUAAACCGCAAGGUAUCGAGCCGCACUCGAAUGCGUUCAGACCCGUUGCAAGCUCGAUCAUCUUCACCCGGAGGUGCGGACCUAGUGCCGUCCCUGGGGAUGGUCGGCUGUUGGUUGACGGUGUUCUCGAACCGGCUUAACAUGCUGUUAAAGCGAUACCGGUCGGCGACGCUAUUGCUUUGGGUACUUUCAGGACCCGUCUUGAAACACGGACCAAGGAGUCUAACAUGUGCGCGAGUCAUUGGGAUAAAUAAAACCUAAAGGCGUAUUGAAAGAGAAGAUCGACCUUGCGUCGAUUGAGGGAGGAUGGGCUAACGUUUCGAUGUUGCUCCGCACUCCCGGGGCGUCUCUUAAAGUCAUUGCGACUUGAGGCGCACCCAGAGCGUACACGUUGGGACCCGAAAGAUGGUGAACUAUGCCUGGUCAGGAUGAAGUCAGGGGAAACCCUGAUGGAGGUCCGUAGCGAUUCUGACGUGCAAAUCGAUCGUCGGAACUGGGUAUAGGGG